rnacentral:rRNA from 1 species
AGCAGCCGCGGUAAUUCCAGCUCCAAUAGCGUAUAUUAAAGUUGUUGCAGUUAAAAAGCUCGUAGUUGAAUUUCGGGAUCAAUAUGUUGGUCGUGCCUUGGUACGUACUGGCAUUAUCGAUUCCUACCUUCUGAAGAACCUCGAUGUCAUUAAUUUGGUGUCUUGGGGAAUCAGGACUGUUACUUUGAAAAAAUUAGAGCGUUUAAAGCAGGCUCGCGCUUGAAUACAUUAGCAUGGAAUAAUGAAAUAGGACGUUUGAUUCUAUUUUGUUGGUUUCUAGGAUCGACGUAAUGAUUAAUAGGGAUAGUUGGGGGCAUUAGUAUUCAAUUGUCAGAGGUGAAAUUCUUGGAUUUAUUGAAGACUAACUACUGCGAAAGCAUUUGCCAAGGAUGUUUUCAUUAAUCAAGAACGAAAGUUAGGGGAUCGAAGACGAUCAGAUACCGUCGUAGU